rnacentral:rRNA from 1 species
ACCUGCAGCCACAGAACCAUGAGCUGUGAUUCCAACGGAGCUUAGAAGCUAAGCAGAGUUGGCUUGAUGCGGACCUAUAUGGGAGACCCGGAAGGAAAGCCCAAGGUGCAGCAGGAA